rnacentral:rRNA from 1 species
CAGCAGCCGCGGUAAUACGAAGGGGGCUAGCGUUGUUCGGAUUUACUGGGCGUAAAGGGCGCGUAGGCGGACUGAUAAGUCAGGGGUGAAAUCCCAAGGCUCAACCUUGGAACUGCCUUUGAUACUGUUUGUCUUGAGUUCGAGAGAGGUAAGUGGAACUGCGAGUGUAGAGGUGAAAUUCGUAGAUAUUGGAAAGAACACCGGUGGCGAAGGCGGCGACCAGGUCUUUAACUGACGCUGAGGCGCGAAAGCGUGGGGAGCAAACAGGAUUAGAUACCCCUGUAGUCCCUGUCUCUUAUAC